rnacentral:rRNA from 1 species
UGCGUAGGCGGGCUAAUAAGUCAGUGGUGAAAUCUAUCGGCGCAACCGGGAAACUGCCAUUGAUACUGUUAGUCUUGAGUUCGGUUGAGGUAGGCGGAAUGUGUAAUGUAGCGGUGAAAUGCUUAGAUAUUACACAGAACACCAAUUGCGUAGGCAGCUUACUAGACCGACACUGACGCUGAGGCACGAAAGCGUGGGGAGCGAACAGGAUUAGAUACCCUGGUAGUCC